CUUAUAUAGUACUCAUCUAUUUACUAGUUCUACCUGUAUACAUAUCUCCUCUAUUUCCAUUUUGACAAACUGCAGACAGCCAUUCUAGUCGAUUACCUAACACCCAUUGACAGAGCAUAAUCUUUAAGGAUAUACCUUCUGUUAUUAUUCCUACUAGGAAUAUAGCACGUUAUUAGAUCUUCUGUCAUCAAUGGCAUAGAUUUACUAGUAUCAUUUCA